GUAGUAGUGGUAGUGAUAAAGAAAAUUAGUCAGCGUUGCAGUGUGUAGUAGUGGUAGUAGUGGUGAUGGUGAUAGCAGUAGUAGUAGUAGUAGUGAAAUGAGUCAGCGUUCCAGUGUUGAGCGUCUCAUUUUGAUAUUGAUGUCGGAAUAUUUGGGGGUGGCGCCUCUCGGGGGAAUGUUUAUUCGCCAUGAUCGUCUUUUAACAGUGCAUUCAUGUUUAUUCCACGUGAGGUUAGCUGAGCACAGGUUACUCAAAUCUGAUCCAUUCGUAAGCAACUGUCAUGACCAUUCUACCAUCUUGGGCUAAUAUGUUUAUCGUAGGAGUAAUGAAGAGAUAGUGUAUUGUACAUCGCUCCUUGAAAUUGAAUGACCGCAGUUUGGUUAAGACACUGACAUAUUCAGCAAAGGGAAAUAAUAAAAGGACACAACAGGCAGUUUUAUUACAAAGGGUUUCCAACAGCAGGAGACCAUUACUCUCUUAUUAAGUUGAUUUCACUGCACGGUAUUAGAGAAAACCUAACCGGUAUAAAAGAGAUAAAAGGUGUUUUGUAUAGAUAGGCCGCGAUUUCCGUCUCCUUGCGUCGUCCUGUUUUUGUGCUGUAGUCCACCGUUACUCCUGUUUGUGGGAGGAGGGUAUAAAUGCUUGUUGGGGUGGUUUGCUGUAGGAGGUGAUGAAUAGUGAAAUAGUUAAUCACCGGCACUAAUCAAGUACACCUGGGUUCGAAUCCUGGCCAAACCCGAUCAGUAAGCAAGGAUCAGUUGCAGCACAUCCAAGUAAUUAGUAGCUUAGGUGAUACGAGGAGCGGCAGGUGGGGAGGUGAAGCCAAGGACGGGGCGAGGCUGACUGGGUGACGCCACGUGAGAUUACAUAAGUUGUACCAUUCGGACCAUACGAUGCUCUCGAGGCGCUUAGGUGGUUAAGCUCCGGGCAGACCUCAUCACCGCGGCCCCGUGCUCGCGGCGCCACGCUGAGCAAAAUAUGCUAAUUGCGCUAAACGUGACCUUCCCUCCACUCCCCUCCCCCGUGAUGGUCUGCUGACGAAGUGGUGCAGCAUCUACAGUCUGAAGUGUUGUAAGUAGUUCUCUAAUGUGUAUUAUGUGUGGAAGGUGACUUAUGUUGAGUUAUUUAAGUGUUUGGGUGAUUUUUUUUUUUUUUUUUUAUGGUGAUCCUCAUUUACUUAGCUUGAUGAAUUUCUACUAAUGUUAACAAUUUUGUAAUUUCUUAUUAAGGGAGAUGCACACAGCAGGGGGAGGGGCGCGUCGAGACCAACACAUUUCAUCCUCAACGGCAAGAACAACGACGGUCGCUGUGCUGGUUGUAGUGAACGUGAUAGCAGCAGCAGCAGCAGCAGCAGCAUGCCAUCGAUAAACCGACGAUAAGCUAUUCUUGCCUUAAAAAUUUGUUUUUAAGAUAAACUUCUUGCUCGGGAAAACCAUGAACAGGGCAGGCUGAGAAUUGUACAAGUUUAAUUAAAAGGCAAGUUGCACCAGGAAGCUCGUGUCAGUGACAGUAUACACACACACAAAUGGAGCCUCUGUACUGGGAGCGUUUAGCUGCUGCUUAAACCUUUACAGUUUUUGAUACGUUCUAUUUAUCUAGCCUUUCGGGCACGAAGCUUACAAAAUGGGUUUUUAUUUUUUUCCAAUACAUUAUAAGAUGCCC